GCCUAAAUUAAUAUAUACAAAUAUCUACCCAUAAACUAAACAAACCAUUUGACCAACCAAGUAGAUGCGAUCGAACAGCAAACACACCAUAAGUACCGCAAGGGAGAACUUAAAAGCAAAAAACAGCAAAGAUUAACCCUUGUACCUUUUGCAUUAUGGUUUAGCAAGCAAACAAGGACAAGAAGAAUCAUAGCCCACCCCCCCGAAACCAGGUGAGCUACUUUAAAGCAGCCUACUGGGCACACCCUUCUCUGUAGCAAAAGAGUGGGAAGACUUAAAAGUAGAAGUGAAACGCCAACCGAACCUGGAGAUAGCUGGCUACCUAAAAAGGAAUAUUAGUUCCACUUUAGAUUAAAAAUAAUUACUUAUCACCUAAAGACAAUCAAUAGGGGUACAGCUCUAUUGAAACAGGAAACAACCUGAAUUUGAGAGAAAGAAACUACAUAUAACCAGUAGGACUUUAAGCAACCACCUAAUAAAAUAUCGUUAAAGAAUUAACAUUAAAAAUCCCUAAACUAAUUAAAAACUCCGAACGAACUAAGGGUAAGCCCAUCCUCAUGGGCAUAAUUAUGCUAAAACUAAUAAUAAGAUAACUUCUCUACGCGCGCCUAUCCACUAGAAACGGAACAACCACUAGUCAUUAACAGACCACAGCAGGAAACACAACUAAACAAUACCCACCUUUAAACAAACUGUGACCCCCACACAGGAACGCUAAAAAGAAAGAUUAACCACUAUAAAAGGAACUCGGCAAACAACAACCCCAACUGUUUAACAAAAACAUAACCUUUAGCCAAACAAAUAUUAAAGGCAACGCCUGCCCAGUGAAUAAUUAAACGGCCGCGGUACCCUAACCGUGCAAAGGUAGCAUAAUCACUUGUCUAUUAACUGUAGACCUGUAUGAAAGGCAAAAUGAGGGUUAAGCUGUCUCUUAUAAUAAAUCUAUUAAACUGAUCUCCUAGUAAAAAAGCUAGAAUAAUAACAUAAGACCAGAAGACCCUGUGAAGCUUAAACCAAACUAUUAAACCAAAUAAUAAUUACUUUCGGUUGGGGCGACCUUGGAAACAAAAAGAACUUCCAACACAAUACUUAAACAUACAAACAUUUUAGGCCAACAAGCCAACAAACGACCCAGCAAAGCUGAUAAAUGAACAAAGUUACUCCAGGGAUAACAGCGCUAUCUUCUUCAAGAGCCCAUAUCAAAAAGAAGGUUUACGACCUCGAUGUUGGAUCAGGACAUCCUAAUGGUGCAACCGCUAUUAAAGGUUCGUUUGUUCAACGAUUAAUGUCCUACGUGAUCU
rnacentral:rRNA from 1 species